AUUGAACGCUGGCGGCAUGCUUUACACAUGCAAGUCGAACGGUAACAGGCCGCAAGGUGCUGACGGGUGGCGAACGGGUGAGUAAUGCAUCGGAACGUGCCCAGUCGUGGGGGAUAACGCAGCGAAAGCUGCGCUAAUACCGCAUACGAUCUAUGGAUGAAAGCGGGGGACCGUAAGGCCUCGCGCGAUUGGAGCGGCCGAUGUCAGAUUAGGUAGUUGGUGGGGUAAAGGCUCACCAAGCCAACGAUCUGUAGCUGGUCUGAGAGGACGACCAGCCACACUGGGACUGAGACACGGCUCAGACUCCUACGGGAGGCAGCAGUGGGGAAUUUUGGACAAUGGGCGCAAGCCUGAUCCAGCAAUGCCGCGUGCAGGAAGAAGGCCUUCGGGUUGUAAACUGCUUUUGUACGGAACGAAACGGUCCUGGUUAAUACCUGGGGCUAAUGACGGUACCGUAAGAAUAAGCACCGGCUAACUACGUGCCAGCCGCCGCCGUAA
rnacentral:rRNA from 1 species